UACGGGGGGGGCAAGCGUUGUUCGGAAUUACUGGGCGUAAAGGGCUCGUAGGUGGCCAACUAAGUCAGACGUGAAAUCCCCAGGCUCAACUUGGGAACUGCGUCUGAUACUGGAUGGCUUGAAUUCGGGAGAGGGAUGCAGAAUUCCAGGUGUAGUGGUGAAAUGCGUAGAUAUCGGGAGGAACACCAGUGGCGAAGGCGACUACCUGGCCUGUUCUUGACGCUGAGGCGCGAAAGCUAGGGGAGCAAACGGG
rnacentral:rRNA from 1 species